UUGAGGGCUCCACACCUGGACACACACUGCAUCGCUGCAGAAGUACUUAUCUGUGGGUUUGAGUCCUGCCCUAAUUCUUCUCGUGCUUUGGUAGCGCUUUUUGGCAGUUUGUUCUCCAGAUGUGCUGAGGGACAAAAUGAACUCGCUUUUCGCUUUGUGUGCUCGUACUGACGUUCAGUCCGUUUCUAGUGCGGAGCAAUGCUACUGGGGUCUAUUCCCAUUUAAGAACACAAGAGAUUUGACUCAACAAAUAAAACCCUUUGAGCGCACAGUCCCUCAGCCUCCCUGAGGCAGCCAGGCUUGGUCCCGUCGCGCCGAGCUCCCCCCGGCGGCGGUCCCGGCAUCAGCCCCGGCGGACAGCCGGCUCUUCCCGCGUCUUUCCGGGAGCCCCGGAUGGAGAGCGGGAUGUGCCAGCAUCCCCCUGACGGCAGCUGACCCGCCCCACCCUCGCAGUCCGGCGGGAGCGGAGGGGAGUGGCGCGGCGCUGUCCCGCCAGCGGCGGCUCCUGUGCCCGCCCGCCCGCGCCAUCUUGAACGCGAGCCGGGGGCAGCGGCCUCCCCUCCCUCCAUCCCUCCCCAAGAUGGCGCCGGCCGGUGCUUACACCUUGUUAUGGCACCGCUGGAAGGUGGAUUUUCUAUUUCGUGAAGACUUGAGUGAUGACCGACUUGUAUUUUCUGUGCAAAACUUGUAUGCGUGAUCUUAAACGCUCUGAUUUGAAUAGUAAAAGAUGUGAAUGCCUAACAAGCGAUCUGAAUCGCCGCUUUCCUUACAGUGAGAAGACUGUUUCACAGCGUGGUUGACUAUCAUUGUACAGCUUGGUGCCAGCAGCUUUUUGUAGGCGAACUUCGGAGAUUUUGAUUUCUGUACCGUGAUUUCUUUAUUAUUUUGUGUGUUUGUGUGAAAAAGAAACGGUGAAUCUUCUCUCGUGAACUGAUUAAAAUUGCUGCUGUGUUCGUAGCGUUGGCUGAGGGUAUCGUUCUGAUUGGGAUUCAGCGUGUUGACCGCUUAUCACCGUGGCUUAAACUUGAAAUGCAUUAAAACAUUUACAAUAAACGCGCGUAACUGUCUCUUAUGUUUCUAAAAAUGAGAGUUAAUUUUCCAGCCCUUAUGAGAUGUGGCCGCCAGCAGUUUAUAGUUAAUCCUUUCAGUUCGCAGCAAAAGUUAAAGCUAUAAGCUAAGAGCUUCAAAGUUGAUGUAUUAGCACUGGCUCCAGUUCACAGUUCUCAUGUAUUAUUAUGGGUAAGAGUUGGGCAGACUUUGAGAUAUUUGUUUCUUUGGCUCGUUUUUAUGACUGUUUGCACUCCUUCUGCCUUUAGAACACACAUAAAGGUGGCUCUUUCACCUCAGCUGAAUGUAAAGUGCCCUGCAGAAUAUAAGGAGCGCUCUCACUGGCAAGUUUAAUUCAGUAAUACUUCAUUUGUAUGUUGAGCAGUGCAUUAUCUGCUAAUUCAAGCUCUUCCAUAACAUAAAGUGAAAGCAUUUUCAUGCUUGCUAAUAGCAUGUUAAUGGUUCUCUUUGAAACAAAACAGCUAUCAAAUUUGUUUGUUUGUUUGUUUUUCCCACCUUAACUGAAACAGGCACAGGGAUACAAAAGAUUCCUUCUUUUCACAUCCCAAGAAACAGCAGUUGGCAAACGAACCCCCUCGAGGAUUGCUCUGGAAGUUAUGGUGAUAUUUUCCCCAUCUCCGUUUAGGCAUCUCUUUUAGCUGGGUAACCCACUAAGUUCAUCUCUCAGUGGAGGUGGCAGAAAGAGAAACUUGAUGUAAAUCACAGUUUCAGGCACCCUAACAAACAUAAUUUGAUCUGAAUGGUCCUUACAGAAGAGUUUGCCUCUGCAGGUUGAUUGCAAGGGAGGUGAAGGAGCUUUAGCUGAGCUAAGUGCCUGUAGGUGGGUGGUGUGAAAUUGUCCUCUAUCUUGCUUUCUUUUCCUGUGCUCAGGGAACUUGAGUAAAACUGGGAUCUGGCUCCCUUUGUGUGUGUGGUUUUUCUUCUUUUUUUUCCUGAGCUGAGCAAAUCAAUGGGAAAAGAUGUUCCAAUAUACUACCAUUAAGUACUUACCUCCUGUGUAAUAUCUCUCAAACUUCAUUUGCUGCCUAAGUAAUCAAUUCUUCAUGCUGUGGAUUGUAACUUCAGGAGGGUGUCCAGAACCCGUACUAAAAUAAGACAGAGCUACUAAAAUGACACAGGUGAGGUAGGAGAUUGAGGUUGUGCAGUGGUUUGUCCUCGUGUCCAUGUAGGACUCAGUAAUGUAUUGGUAGCCUUUAGGUACAUAAUGAUUUCCUCAGGGAGCUGUGUUCAAGAUGCAUAGUUGUGCAGUAGGGAUAGCCAGACCUUUCUUAGUGCAGAGCUCCCUUGCGUAUAGAAUUCAGACUCCAUAUGAGUCCAUGCUUAGCUUUGUCAUAGUAUUUACUGCUUAACUGUCCAACUUGCACAGCUUAUUUACACAAAUAGCACUGCAACAUGAUGCUUCAAGGCACAAAAAGAUCAAUUCUUCAGUGCAGUGGAGAACCUCAUCUUCGUGAUACUGCAAAAUCGAAGCUGGUAUUACUGAAAACGUUGUGGAAACCUAAAAUGGAAAGAGUGGCUGCUAUCUUCCAAAUGCAGUGAUCCCUUAUUGUGAUUUGAUGGAUUGGUUCGGAAAGAAGAAUUGCAUCAUGCCAAUUAAAAAGCUGUACUGCUGGCGCGUUAUUGUCUAUGGUAUUGUUUCUUGCUGAUUUUUUUUCCCCUUUUAUUCUUCGGAGGUUUCACUCACUCAAACUUCUCGUGUGAAUUUGUUAUAGAAAUUAAAGUAGGCACAUGGCUGAGCUGAUGGAAUUUCUGUGUAAAGUUAUUUAGUUUAUAGUAUCUCUAUUGUGUAUUGUUUGCUGUGCUGGGUGAGAAAGUACUGCAAGACAUGUUCCUCCGUAGCUCUUCUGAGCGCUUCUUUUGACUCAUGGAAUAAUAAAAACGUAUUGAGAUUCACAGCAGAGACAA